rnacentral:rRNA from 1 species
UACAGAGGGUGCGAGCGUUGUCCGGAAUCACUGGGCGUAAAGGGCGCGUAGGCGGCCUGCUAUGUAGAGGGUGAAAUCCUGCGGCUCAACCGCAGGGCUGCCUUCUAAACUGUCAGGCUGGAGCACGGUAGAGGCAGAUGGAAUUCCCGGUGUAGCGGUGGAAUGCGUAGAGAUCGGGAAGAACACCAGUGGCGAAGGCGGUCUGCUGGGCCGUUGCUGACGCUGAGGCGCGACAGCGUGGGGAGCAAACAGG